rnacentral:rRNA from 1 species
AUUGAACGCUGGCGGCAUGCCUUACACAUGCAAGUCGAACGGUAACAGGUCUUCGGAUGCUGACGAGUGGCGAACGGGUGAGUAAUGCAUCGGAACGUGCCCAGUUGUGGGGGAUAACUGCUCAAAAGAGCAGCUAAUACCGCAUACGACCUGAGGGUGAAAGCGGGGGAUCGCAAGACCUCGCGCAAUUGGAGCGGCCGAUGUCAGAUUAGGUAGUUGGUGGGGUAAAGGCCUACCAAGCCGACGAUCUGUAGUUGGUCUGAGAGGACGACCAGCCACACUGGGACUGGGACACGGCCCAGACUCCUACGGGAGGCAGCAGUGGGGAAUUUUGGACAAUGGGCGCAAGCCUGAUCCAGCAAUGCCGCGUGCAGGAAGAAGGCCUUCGGGUUGUAAACUGCUUUUGUCAGGGAAGAAAUCCUCUGGGUUAAUACCCCGGGGGGAUGACGGUACCUGAAGAAUAAGCACCGGCUAACUACGUGCCAGCAGCCGCCGUAA